GUCCAGGGCCAUACCACCCGGAACGCAACCGAUCUCGUCUGAUCUCGGAACCUAAGCAGGGUCGAGCCUGGUUAGUACUUGGAUGGGAGACCGCCUGGGAAUACUGCCUGGGAAUACCGGGUGCCCUAGGCU
rnacentral:rRNA from 1 species